UGUCAGCAUUUUUACACCUCAGGACGCAAGAUUCCAUCGCUGCCUAGCGUCCAGAAGUGAAAAAAUGAUAACA
rnacentral:pre_miRNA from 1 species